AGUCGCGGUUAAACCAAGAAAGCUAAAUCAUAUUUUAAUGGUAAAAGACAGUUAAACCUACUGUAAUAAGUUUAUUUAAUGUUUAUAUAAAGGUAGAAUUUGUAUAUAUACAGAAAAUUUAAUUAUAACUUUAGUGUUGAAGCUGUGACAUCCUUGAGGGAAACUGGGAUUAGAUACCCCACUAUUCUUGGAUAUAAAGGAAUGAAAAUUUACCGGAGUACUAUGAACUAAAAAGUUUAAAACUCAAAGGGCUUGGCGGUGUUUUAGACCUCUUAGGGGAACCUGUCUCAUAAUCGACAAUCCACGCUACACCUAACCUUAUUUUGCUUUCAGUUUGUAUACCGUCGUCGUCAGGUAACUUUUAAAAAAUUAGAAGUUAGCAAAAAAGCUUAAUAAACUUAUACGUCAGAUCAAGGUGCAACCUAUAUUAGGGUGAAGAUGGGUUACAAUUAUAAAUUUAUAACUACGAAAUAAUUAUUAGAAUAAAUAACUAUAAGGAGGACUUAAAAGUAAACUAAAUUAUAUAAAUAUCUUGAAUAAGGCUCUGAAACGUGCACACAUCGCCC
rnacentral:rRNA from 1 species